UAGCUACUCCCUCCGCCCCGAAAAGGAUGUCUCAAAUUUGUCUAAAUUUGAAUGUAUCUAGACACUAAUUAGUGCAAAGAUACAUCUAAAUUUAGACAAAUCUGUGACAUCUUUUUUGGGACGGAGGGAGUACUGC
rfam:Triticum aestivum genome assembly, contig: Triticum_aestivum_CS42_TGACv1_scaffold_093180_2AL